UAUUUAGCUCAACGGUAGAGCAUUUGCUUAGUAAGCAAGAGGUUACAGGUUCGAUUCCUGUAAUA
rnacentral:ncRNA from 14 species